rnacentral:lncRNA from 1 species
AUGCCCUUCAUAUUCGGGGCCAUCGCACUUGCCCUGGUGUUUGAAGCCGUUGCACUGUUUGGCCAGUGGGCCCUGGUAGUGUCGGGGGUCAUUGAGCUUGUCAUUGUCCUCUGUGGGCUGUAUGGUGCGGUGGCCCUCCUGCUGAAGGGCAUCACACAACGGUACAUCCUUCCAGGCUUUGGGCAUCCCCUCUUCAAUGUCUUGCUACUGGGGUCAGCACAGAAGAGCUCUUCCAAGGCCAUCGGGGAAGAGAAGAAAAAGAACACAAAGUAUGCCGAGCCAAUGGCCCUAGGCAACAUCUGUGAUACUGUCUCUCCUUUUAUAUUUGCUUUUUACUCCUUCGGGUACAUGAAGACCUUCUGUGUUGGAGCAGCAUGGAUUUCCAUCAUCUCCAGCUGCCAGCUGCUGUCCAGUUUCUACAGCUACCUCAGAGGUGAUGUCUACUACACCACCAAGUUUGGUGUCCACAGCCUCUACUGGCUGGUGAUGUCUUGGGAAGAGUUCAUACUCACCGUCCUCCUCGGGCCAGGCACGGCUCAGGAGAGCAGGCUGGGAAUGUUUGGAGGGUGGUUCUUCUUGGCUGUUGCCUGCAUGCUGUUUCUGAUGUCAACCCACAAAGAUACCCUGGAGAUGUUGCAAAAUGCCUCUUUCAUCAUCCUCAUGUGCGCCUCCAUCCAUCAGAUCCCAGUGCCAGGUGCUUACCUGUUCCUCGGGGCUGCCUGCAGCCUCUGCACUGCUCUCUCGUUGUACGCCACUUUUGCCAGCCUUAUCAACUCCAUCGGGGAGAAGGCUCUGAUUCCAAUUGGCUCCCAAGCUAUGUCCAGCUCAGCUCUUCAAAACACACUGAUGGCUGCCAAAAGCUGCUUCACAAGGUCCAAGAACUUGCCAAGCAGCACCAGAGCCGAGGUGCCAGAUGCCUUGUUCUACAUCUGCAAUGGCCUGGCAGCAAUCUCUGCCAUCCAGGCGACUUUCAGUGACCCCAGCAGACAGCAACUCUCCAUACCUUCCGUGCUCAUCCCAGGAGCCAUCAUACAACUGUAUGUCUGCAGGAUCCAGGUGCAAGGAGGCAGAAGGUUUGGUUGCAUUCUCCCAUUCUGCUAUGCUGCCUUUUGGGGAGCAUGGACCUGGCUUCGGUUUGCAGGUAACGCAAGGUCAGGCUUUUGGUUUUUCCAAAACUAA